rnacentral:tRNA from 2 species
GGAGCGGAUGGGUGCUGGUGUGCCCUCCGGUCUUCAAAACCGGUAAUUGGGGAUAAAACCUCAUAGGUGGGUUCAAUUCCCACACGUUCC